rnacentral:rRNA from 1 species
GACGAACGGUGCGAACGUUGUUCGGAAUCACUGGGCUUAAAGGGCGCGUAGGCGGGCUGUCAAGUCUGGGGUGAAAUCCCACGGCUCAACCGUGGAACUGCCUUAGAUACUGACGGCCUCGAGGGAGAUAGGGGCGAGCGGAACUGUGAGUGGAGCGGUGAAAUGCGUUGAUAUUCACAGGAACUCCGGUGGCGAAGGCGGCUCGCUGGAUCUUUUCUGACGCUGAGGCGCGAAAGCUAGGGGAGCAAACGGG